rnacentral:pre_miRNA from 1 species
AGAAACUUGGAAACUACCGUUGGAUCGAGAAAUGGACGUCCGAGAUUCGUCCACAUCACCAUAAGUUAAAAUUUAACUCGCAGAUUCACUCAUGAGUUAAAAUUUUACUGGGAGAGUUAAAUUUUAACUCAUGGUGACGUGGACGAAUCUCGAACGUCCAUUUCUCAAUCCAACGGUAGUUUCCAAGUUUUC